rnacentral:rRNA from 1 species
GACAGAGGGUGCAAACGUUGUUCGGAAUUACUGGGCGUAAAGCGUGUGUAGGCGGCCGCGUAAGUCGGAUGUGAAAGCCCUGGGCUCAACCCAGGAAGUGCACUCGAUACUGCGUGGCUUGAGUACUGGAGAGGUUGGUGGAAUUCUCGGUGUAGAGGUGAAAUUCGUAGAUAUUCGCAAGAACACCAGUGGCGAAGGCGGCUCACUGGCCCGAUACUGACGCUGAGGCACGAAAGCGUGGGGAGCAAACAGGG